rnacentral:rRNA from 1 species
GAUUAGCGGCGGACGGGUGAGUAACACGUGGGCAACCUGCCUGUAAGACUGGGAUAACUUCGGGAAACCGGAGCUAAUACCGGAUAAUCCUUUUCUACUCAUGUAGAAAAGCUGAAAGAUGGCUUCGGCUAUCACUUACAGAUGGGCCCGCGGCGCAUUAGCUAGUUGGUGAGGUAACGGCUCACCAAGGCGACGAUGCGUAGCCGACCUGAGAGGGUGAUCGGCCACACUGGGACUGAGACACGGCCCAGACUCCUACGGGAGGCAGCAGUAGGGAAUCUUCCGCAAUGGACGAAAGUCUGACGGAGCAACGCCGCGUGAGUGAUGAAGGUUUUCGGAUCGUAAAACUCUGUUGUUAGGGAAGAACAAGUACCGUUCGAAUAGGGCGGUACCUUGACGGUACCUAACCAGAAAGCCACGGCUAACUACGUGCCAGCAGCCGCGGUAAUACGUAGGUGGCAAGCGUUGUCCGGAAUUAUUGGGCGUAAAGCGCGCGCAGGUGGUUUCUUAAGUCUGAUGUGAAAGCCCCCGGCUCAACCGGGGAGGGUCAUUGGAAACUGGGAGACUUGAGUGCAGAAGAGGAAAGUGGAAUUCCAAGUGUAGCGGUGAAAUGCGUAGAGAUUUGGAGGAACACCAGUGGCGAAGGCGACUUUCUGGUCUGUAACUGACACUGAGGCGCGAAAGCGUGGGGAGCGAACAGGAUUAGAUACCCUGGUAGUCCACGCCGUAAACGAUGAGUGCUAAGUGUUAGAGGGUUUCCGCCCUUUAGUGCUGCAGCAAACGCAUUAAGCACUCCGCCUGGGGGAGUACGGCCGCAAGGCUGAAACUCAAAAGGAAUUGACGGGGG